AUGUUUUAGACUGGAAGCCACUUAAAACGGAAAGAAUAAAGGCUAAGUCCAAACUGAUGUUUAAAUUGUUGAAUAAAAUGGGUCCUAAAUCACUUACUGAUUUAUUUACUUUCAAAAGUGAAAUGACAAAUUAUAAACUUCGAGAUGUGGAAAGUACCCUUUGCUUACCACAGCCGCGUACAAAUAGCUUGAAAAAAAGUUUCAUGUUUGACGGGGCACACAUUUGGAAUUCUUUACCAACCGAAAUUAGAGAGAGC